UUAUUAUUUAUUUAUUGGAUUUCUAUCCCGCCCCUCUAGACCAAAGGUGGCUUCCAGACUCCACCUUUCCUUCUUUAGCAGAUUUUUUUCACUGCCAGUUGUGUAUGUAGGGAGCCAAAGGGAGUGGUGAGAAGACACAGAAAGGUUACAAACUGUCUAGACUCCUCCUAAAAUUCUGUGAAGAACAGCAGGGUGAUUGCACAAAAAGAACCGCAUCUAGGAGCCUCGGAAGCAAAAAAAAGAAAAAGAAAAAAAAAAAGAUACUGUCCCAGCCCUAUCUUCAGCCUCAUAUGACUAUUCCUGCGUCAUAACUGGAGUGAAUAAUCGAACGAACUGACCCCAAACAUAGACACAGAUCCUACUGACAUACAGGAUUCAACCCAGUUGCGCUCACAGGAAUGGCGGAACAGAUGCUGCCUAACAGAUACUCCUCCAAACAGAUUUCUUCAGAUGUCUUGGAUUGUGUAUGACUCCAAUAAUCCUCUAACCAGAGGGAUUCCUCUCGUUCUGAACUUGGAUCCCCAUCAUCACAAGCUCAGAGGACGGUGCUCACUGCAUUGCAAUAAGGACUUGCCAUAAAGACAUACUGUACCUAGCCUUAACAUGGAGUUCCCAGGUCCUUGAGAAAAAUGAAUUACCAAGACUCAUGUGUAAUAUGGCAAACUAAGAAGUGCAGUUCUAACGGUGUAAUUGUCAACAGAAGAGUUGCUUGUUACUAUGGCUAAUUCUAUUCUGCUUUCUACAUUAAACAAAUAAUCUAUCACAAUACAGUAUACCGAAGUAUAUAAUUUA